rnacentral:pre_miRNA from 1 species
AGAGGGAUAGUUGGGUCAAAUGGUGGUUCCAUUCCCAGAUUUCCAAGGAAUCUCCAUACUGCUUUCCAUAUUGGCUGUACCAAUUUGCAGUCCCACCAACAAU